CUCAGAGGAGAGGUUUGGAACAGCUAGUUGUCCUGAGAGAAGAGGUUUGGAACAGCUAGGGGUCCAGAGGAAAGGUUUGGAACAGCUGGGGGUCCAGAGGAGAGGUUUGGAACAGCUAGGGGUCCUGAGAAGAGGUUUGGAACAGCUGGGGGUCCAGAGGAGAGGUUUGGAACAGCUAGGGGUCCUGAGAAGAGGUUUGGAACAGCUGGGGGUCUCAGAGGAGAGGUUCGGAACAGCUGGGGGUCUCAGAGGAGAGGUUUGGAACAGCUGGGGGUCUCAGAGGAUAGGUUUGGAACAGCUAGGGGUCCCAGAGGAGAGGUUUGGAACAGCUGGGGGUCUCAGAGGAGAGGUUUGGAACAGCUGGGGUUCCUGAGGAGAGGUUUGGAACAGCUAGUUUUCCUAAGAAGAGGUUUGGAACAGCUAGUUGUCCUGAUGAGAGGUUUGGAACAGCUCGUUUUCCUGAGAAGAGGUUUGAAAUAGCUAGUUGUCCCGAUGAGAGGUUUGGAACAGCUGGGGUUCCUGAGGAGAGGUUUGGAACAGCUAGUUGUCCUGAGGGGAGGUUUGGAACAGCUGGGGGUCCCAGAGGAGAGGUUUGGAACAGCUGGGGGUCUCAGAGGAGAGGUUUGGAACAGCUGGGGGUCCCCGUGGAAAGUUUUGGAACAGCUGGGGGUCUCGGAGGAGAGGUUCGGAACAGCUGGGGGUCCUGAGGAGAGGUUUGGGACAAAUGGGGGUCCUGAGGAGAGGUUUGGAACCGCUGGGGGUCGUGAGGAGAGGUUUGGAACAGCUGGGGGUCUCGGAGGAGAGGUUUGGAACAGCUGGGGGUCCUGAGGAGAGGUUUGGAACAGCUGGGGGUCUCAGAGGAGAGGUUUGGAACAGCUAGUUGUCCUGAGAAGAGGUUUGGGACAGCUGGGGGUCCUGAGGAGAGGUUUGGAACCGCUGGGGGUCUCAGAGGAGAGGUUUGGAACAGCUGGGGGUCCUACGGAGAGGUUUGGAACAGCUGGGGGUCUCAGAGGAGAGGUAUGGAACAGCUGGGGGUCCUAAGGAGAGGUUUGGAACAGCUAGUUGUCCCGAGGAGAGGUUUGGAACAGCUAGUUGUCCCGAGGAGAGGUAUGGAACAGCUGGGGGUCUCAGAGGAGAGGUUUGGAACUGCUGGGGGUCUCAGAGGAGAGGUUUGGAACAGAUAGUUGUCCCGAGGAGAGGUUUGGAACAGCUGGUGGUCCGGAGUAGAGGUUUGGAACAGCUGGGGGUCCUGAGGAGAGGUUUGGAACAGCUGGGGGUCCUGAGAGGAGGUUUGGAACAGCUGGGGGUCCUGAGAGGAGGUUUGGAACAGCUGGGGGUCCUGAGAAGAGGUUUGGAACAGCUGGGGUUCCCAGAGGAGAGAUUUGGAACAGCUUGUGGUCCAGAGGAGGGGUUUUGAACAGCUGGGGGUCUCAGAGGAGAGGUUUGGAACAGCUAGUUGUCCUGAGAAGAGGUUUGGAACAGCUAGGGGUCCAGAGGAAAGGUUUGGAACAGCUGGGGGUCCAGAGGAGAGGUUUGGAACAGCUAGGGGUCCUGAGAAGAGGUUUGGAACAGCUGGGGGUCCAGAGGAGAGGUUUGGAACAGCUAGGGGUCCUGAGAAGAGGUUUGGAACAGCUGGGGGUCUCAGAGGAGAGGUUCGGAACAGCUGGGGGUCCUGAGGAGAGGUUUGGAAUAGCUGGGGGUCCUGAGGAGAGGUUUGGAACAGCUGGGGUCUCAGAGGAGAGGUUUGGAACAGCUAGUUGUCCUGAGGAGAGGUUUGGGAUGGCUAGUUGUCCUGAGGAGAGUUUGGGACGGCUGGGGGUCCCAGAGGAGAGGUUUGAGAACCCCUGUCUUAGCCGCUUUAUCAAGCCAUCCACCAUUCAUCUUUAUACAGUGAUUCUCUGAUUAAUACAAAUGUUCCUGUAUUUAAACUCCUUGUUAUUGUCUCUUAAAUAAAAAAUGUUCAGUAUUUGAUAUGAAUUUGUGGCAUUUGGCUUAACUUUUAAUAAACACAUUUUCUGUGG